rnacentral:rRNA from 1 species
UACGGAGGGUGCAAGCGUUAUCCGGAUUCACUGGGUUAAAGGGUGCGUAGGUGGGUUGGUAAGUCAGUGGUGAAAUCUCCGAGCUUAACUUGGAACUGCCGUUGAUACUAUCAAUCUUGAAUAUCGCGUAGGUAAGCGGAAUAUGUCAUGUAGCGGUGAAAUGCUUAGAUAUGACAUAGAACACCAAAUUGCGAAGGCAGCUUACUUCACGAAUCAUUGACACUGAGGCACGAAAGCGUGGGGAGCAAACAGGA